CAUUAACAAUAGUUACUUACAUGAUUUUAUGUAGAUAGCAUCUGAGAUAGAACACGAUGCACCUUAUGGAGCAGCCAUGAAAGUACCUUUUGAUAAAAUGCAUGAUUAAGUACUGUCAGGAACAUUUCGAUAAAAUCCGCUGUCCAGUUACGCCCUCUAAUGAUACUGUACUUCAUCUAGCUGUGUACAGUAAAACAGAGCACCCACUUAAAGUUUUACUUGAAAUCAUGAAGAAAGGAGAAUUACCUUUAACUGAGACUGAAUUUCUCAAGAAAACAAACAAAUUUGGAAAUACGGCUCUUCACGAGGCAACCUUCUAUGGCAAUUAUAAGGCUGUAAGGUUCUUGGUAGAACGUUUUCCAGAGCUGCUUUUGGUUCCAAAUGGGUUCGGUGAAACCCCAUUGUUUACAGCUGCUGAAUUUGCUGAGACAGAAAUAGAGGAGUUUUUAAUCCGAUCCAAACCAGGACAAUGCGUGGAUGAUGAUGGCCUCCUAUAACCAAUUCACCGCCAGAGAACGGUAGAUAACCUGUCCAUCCUUAGCGCUGUUAUCAUAGGGCAAAAAUUUGAGACAGCUUUACUGUUGCUAGAACUGGAUAAAUCGCUCGCCAGCUUGAAGGACAAAAAUCAAAUAUCUACUCUUCAACUUCUAGCGGAAAUGCCAGCUACUUUUGAGAGUGGAUUUCCCAUGGCAUAUUUCAAAGACUCAUCUACCGUUGCCUUCCUGUUAAACGUCACCACGAGGUAAAAUCAAAGGUAAAAAGUUGGUGUCUGGCAAGGAAGAGAGAUCUUGAGAGAGGUCGGGGGAGGAACU